rnacentral:snoRNA from 1 species
UUUUACUGAUGAUUAACUUCAACACCUUUUGCGGUUUCCACCAGAAAGCUUUGGCUUAAUGAUGGUCUAAGGCGUCUGACU